UACGUAGGGUCCGAGCGUUGUCCGGAAUUAUUGGGCGUAAAGGGCUCGUAGGCAGUCCGUCACGUCGGGAGUGAAAACUCAGGGCUCAACCCUGAGCGUGCUUCCGAUACGGGCGGACUAGAGGUAUGCAGGGGAGAACGGAAUUCCUGGUGUAGCGGUGGAAUGCGCAGAUAUCAGGAGGAACACCGGUGGCGAAGGCGGUUCUCUGGGCAUUACCUGACGCUGAGGAGCGAAAGCAUGGGGAGCGAACAGG
rnacentral:rRNA from 1 species